GGGGCUGUAGCUCAGCGGCAGAGCACUUGCCUCGCAGGUAUGAGACCCUGGGUUUGACCCUCAGCACCA
rnacentral:tRNA from 1 species